rnacentral:rRNA from 1 species
UACAGAGGGUGCGAGCGUUAAUCGGAAUUACUGGGCGUAAAGGGUGCGUAGGUGGUUGCAUAAGUUAGGUGUGAAAGUCCUGGGCUUAACCUGGGGACUGUGCCUGAUACUGUGUAGCUAGAGUUUUGUAGAGGAAAGUGGAAUUUCCGGUGUAGCGGUGAAAUGCGUAGAUAUCGGAAGGAACAUCAGUGGCGAAGGCGACUUUCUGGACAGAUACUGACACUGAGGCACGAAAGCAUGGGGAGCAAACAGG